rnacentral:sRNA from 1 species
GCUGGGUGUGGUGAUGCAUACCUGUAAUCCCAGCAGCUCAGGAGCCUGAGGCAGGAGGAUUGUAAGUUCAAAACCAACCUCAGCAACUUAGUGAGGUUCUAAGGAACCUAGAGAAAUCCUGUCUCUA